rnacentral:rRNA from 1 species
CCUUGCUCUUAUCAAAGGUGAAACCUGCUCAGUGACUUUAAAGAAUUACAAAAAACAGUUGUAAAAUAAAGUUUAAAGGACGCGAUAACCUGAUCGUGAUAAUGUAGCAUAAUCAUUUGCCAUUUAAUUGGUGGAUAGUAUGAAAGGUCAAACGAGUAUUUCCUUGUUUUUAAUGUAAACCUAAUGAAAUUAAGAUAGUAGUAAAGACGCUACUUAAAACUGUAAGACGAAAAGACCCUAUAGAGCUUCACUACAAACUCUUAUUACAAUGAGAGUCUGAUAGUUUGGUUGGGGCGACCAUCUUCUAAAUAUAACGAAGACAAGCAAUGUAAAUAAAAUACUUACUGUAUAACUUAUAAGUUUAACAGUUAGAAAACUAGGCUAUAUUGACCCGUUUCUUAUUAAAAGCAAUAAAAACGUUUACUAAAUAAAAGCUACCUUAGGGAUAACAGGGUAAUUUUAUUAGGGAGACCUAAUCCCUUCUAAAGUUUGCCACCUCUAUGUUGAAUUAAGAUAUCCAUGCGGUGCAAAAGCUGCAAAAGGUAGGUCUGUUCGACCUUUAAAAU